AAACCUGGAAGCCAGGUCCACUUUGGUAUGCACCUCUGCCAUUUGUCCCAGGUCUGAAUUCCAACAAUUAAUACCCUCUUCUUCUCCAAAAUCGCACUCUGAGUCCACCUAUUUGAUCUCUCUCCUCCCAGGAAACAAGUGGAACCUGGUCACGAGCAGAAGCCAGCUUGACAGGUUUUAGUUUCUUCUCUGUUGUAACAAGGUAUCUUGAUAAAAAGUAGCCAAGCAUGGAAAGGUUUAUCUGUCUUACAAGUCCAUGUUGCCACCAGCCAUCACAGAGAGGAAGUCACCGCAAGAACUCACUCAAGAGCAGAGGAUGUAGCUCUCAGCAACUGUUCCAGCACCAUGCUUGCAACCAUGCUCCCUGUCAUAAUGCUACUGAAACUGAUGGACUAACCUUCUGAAACUAUGUGAAGAUGCUGUCAGCUGGAGAAGCUGUUUGUUUUUCACUCUUGGCAUUAAGAACCCAUGCUGAGCAGGCUCUGGUAUCCACCACUGUGCCACAUCCCCCGUCUCUAAAAACAAUUCCAUUUUCCCGGAGGCAGCGAGGCAUCUAUCUGAGAGGAUUCGGAGUCCAAAAGCUUGCUCUGGCCUGAGCUGCUGACUGCAGACCCACCUCUCCAACUGUGAACCCCCAACACCAAACCCUGCUGUGUUCCUGACCCGUUAAUCCUUUCCUAGGGAACCCGCUAUUCUGAACAUGUUAAAUCAGAACCCUCUGCCCUCCACGUUCAUACCUCAAACCCCCUGCUUUUCACCUUCUUCCUGGAGAUGACCUGAAACACCAAGGCCUGUUAGUUUUA